CCUACGGGAGGCAGCAGUGGGGAAUAUUGGACAAUGGGCGAAAGCCUGAUCCAGCAAUGCCGCGUGAGUGAUGAAGGCCUUAGGGUUGUAAAGCUCUUUUACCAGGGAUGAUAAUGACAGUACCUGGAGAAUAAGCUCCGGCUAACUCCGUGCCAGCAGCCGCGGUAAUACGGAGGGAGCUAGCGUUGUUCGGAAUUACUGGGCGUAAAGCGUACGUAGGCGGUUAUUCAAGUCAGAGGUGAAAGCCUGGAGCUCAACUCCAGAACUGCCUUUGAAACUAGAUAGCUAGAAUCUUGGAGAGGUGAGUGGAAUUCCGAGUGUAGAGGUGAAAUUCGUAGAUAUUCGGAAGAACACCAGUGGCGAAGGCGACUCACUGGACAAGUAUUGACGCUGAGGUACGAAAGCGUGGGGAGCAAACAGGAUUAGAUACCCUGGUAGUCCACGCCGUAAACGAUGAUAACUAGCUGUUCGGGCUCUACGAGCUUGAGUGGCGCNGCUACGACAUUAAGUUAGUCCGUCCGUCGGGUAGGUACGGUCGGCGAAGAAGUUAAACGUUAACGUAAAGGUUAAAGUUAGUACGGCGUUGAGACGNGCCGACGGACGACGACGAGGGAGGAGG
rnacentral:rRNA from 1 species